UCCCAUCUCUCUCUCUCUCCUCCUUCUCUCUCCUUCCUCUCUCCCUUCCGUUGGUUUCUCCUCCAUCUUCUUUGUGCGAGAGACCAGAAAAUUUGCAGAGGAAGAAGCCGAAGCAGUCCCUCGCCGUCCGCCUCCUUCGCCGCUCGUCACUCGCCGCCGGGGCCGUCGUUGUCGCCGCCGUUCGCGCGCGCAGCCGCGCGUCCGCUCACCGUCGCCCUCUCUCCUCCAUCUUCUUCUUCUUGCUGCUCGAGAUCUCAGAUCUGGUCGGACGCCAAGCAGAAGCAGCAGCCAACGUCGCCCGGAGUCGUCGCACGCCUCCGCCUGUCCCCGUUCGCCGCUGCCGUGCGUCGCCGUCGCCGUCGCUGCCCGUCCACCCGCGCUCGCCCACGCUUGGCCGAUGUCCAGCCGCCUCCGCCCCUGUUCGCGCGUUCCACGAGCUGCCGGAGCUCGUCUCCGCCGCCG
rnacentral:lncRNA from 1 species